rnacentral:rRNA from 1 species
UCACCGAAAGGCGUAGUCGAUGGGAAACAGGUUAAUAUUCCUGUACUUGGUGUUACUGCGAAGGGGGGACGGAGAAGGCUAUGUUAGCCGGGCGACGGUUGUCCCGGUUUAAGCAUGUAGGCUGGUUGUCCAGGCAAAUCCGGAUAAUCAAGGCUGAGGUGUGAUGACGAGGCACUACGGUGCUGAAGUAACAAAUGCCCUGCUUCCAGGAAAAGCCUCUAAGCAUCAGGUAACAUCAAAUCGUACCCCAAA